rnacentral:rRNA from 1 species
GGCGAAGGGGGCUAGCGUUGUUCGGAAUUACUGGGCGUAAAGCGAGUGUAGGUGGUUGUCCAAGUUGGAUGUGAAAGCCUUGAGCUCAACUCAAGAAAUGCAUUCAGGACUGGGCGGCUAGAGGACCGGAGAGGAUAGUGGAAUUCCCAGUGUAGUGGUGAAAUACGUAGAGAUUGGGAAGAACACCAGUGGCGAAGGCGGCUAUCUGGACGGUUUCUGACACUAAGACUCGAAAGCGUGGGGAGCAAACAGG